UGGGGAAUAUUGCACAAUGGGCGAAAGCCUGAUGCAGCCAUGCCGCGUGUGUGAAGAAGGCCUUAGGGUUGUAAAGCACUUUCAGCGAGGAGGAAAGGAUUAAAGUUAAUACCUUUAGUCUAUGACGUUACUCGCAGAAGAAGCACCGGCUAACUCCGUGCCAGCAGCCGCGGUAAUACGGAGGGUGCGAGCGUUAAUCGGAAUUACUGGGCGUAAAGCGUGCGUAGGCGGCUACUUAAGUUGGAUGUGAAAGCCCCGGGCUCAACCUGGGAACUGCAUCCAAAACUGGGUGGCUAGAGUGCGAGAGAGGAGUGUGGAAUUUCCUGUGUAGCGGUGAAAUGCGUAGAUAUAGGAAGGAACACCUGUGGCGAAGGCGACACUCUGGCUUGACACUGACGCUGAGGUACGAAAGCGUGGGGAGCAAACAGGAUUAGAUACCCUGGUAGUCCACGCCGUAAACGAUGUCUACUAGUUGUCCGUUGUCUUGUACGAUGGGUAACGCAGCUAACGCGAUAAGUAGACCGCCUGGGGAGUACGGCCGCAAGGUUA
rnacentral:rRNA from 1 species